rnacentral:rRNA from 1 species
AGUGAACGCUGGCGGUAGGCCUAACACAUGCAAGUCGAACGGCAGCACAGUAAGAGCUUGCUCUUACGGGUGGCGAGUGGCGGACGGGUGAGGAAUACAUCGGAAUCUACUUUUUCGUGGGGGAUAACGUAGGGAAACUUACGCUAAUACCGCAUACGACCUACGGGUGAAAGCAGGGGAUCUUCGGACCUUGCGCGAUUGAAUGAGCCGAUGUCGGAUUAGCUAGUUGGCGGGGUAAAGGCCCACCAAGGCGACGAUCCGUAGCUGGUCUGUGAGGAUGAUCAGCCACACUGGAACUGAGACACGGUCCAGACUCCUACGGGAGGCAGCAGUGGGGAAUAUUGGACAAUGGGCGCAAGCCUGAUCCAGCCAUACCGCGUGGGUGAAGAAGGCCUUCGGGUUGUAAAGCCCUUUUGUUGGGAAAGAAAAGCAGCAGGUUAAUACCCCGCUGUUCUGACGGUACCCAAAGAAUAAGCACCGGCUAACUUCGUG